rnacentral:rRNA from 1 species
UACGUAGGGGGCUAGCGUUGUCCGGAAUCAUUGGGCGUAAAGAGCGUGUAGGCGGUCCGGUAAGUCCGCUGUGAAAGUCGGGGGCUCAACCCUCGAAUGCCGGUGGAUACUGUCGGGCUAGAGUGCGGAAGGGGCAACUGGAAUUCGUUGGUGUAGCGGUGAAAUGCGUAGGAUAAUCAGAGGAACACCUGCGGCGAAAGGCGGGUUGCUGGGCCGACACUGACGCUGAGGCGCGAAAGCUAGGGGAGCGAACGGGAUUAGAAACCCUU